GUUUCAAUUCCUCAUUGGUACGAUAAAAAC
rnacentral:other from 1 species